rnacentral:snoRNA from 1 species
CUGGGAAUAUUCUCACCAUCCUGGCUUCAUGAUAACCAGGGCAGGCUAAACAUUUGCUAUAUCAGGACCACACAUGUGUUUCCUCUAGGUCUGGUUUUUUUUAAUUUCUGGUAAUAAAC